CCUGUAGCUCAAACGGUAAAGAAUCUGCCUGCAAUGCAGAAGAUCAGGGUUCGAUCCCUGGGUCAGGA
rnacentral:tRNA from 1 species